CUCCUACGGGAGGCAGCANNGGGGAAUUUUGGACAAUGGGCGAAAGCCUGAUCCAGCAAUGCCGCGUGUGUGAAGAAGGCCUUCGGGUUGUAAAGCACUUUUGUCCGGAAAGAAAUGGCUCUGGUUAAUACCUGGGGUCGAUGACGGUACCGGAAGAAUAAGGACCGGCUAACUCGUGCCACCAGCCGCGGUAAUA
rnacentral:rRNA from 1 species